GUCCUGCCUCCCCAGAGGGCGCAGUCAGGUGAAAAAGGACGUGCCUAAAUAGACUGGAGGUGAACAUGGAAUGUUAGGGGAACACAGGUGAGGACUGCUCAACUGCACCUGAAGGGAGAAAGAGGCAAUCACUUUGGGAGAUGAUGCCUGCACUGCUUCUUAAGAAACAAUUAGGAGUCAGCUGAGCAAAUCAGGCAAUCACAAAGACUACAUUUGAUUGUGGGUAACUGAAACCCCAGAAAACAAAACGAGGAUAAUGGGGGACCACCGCAUAUAUCUCAGAGGGACAUGGAUGAAGCUGGAAACCAUCAUUCUCAGCAAACUAUCGCAAGGACAAAAAACCAAACAUCGCGUGUCCUCACUCAUAGGUGGGAAUUGAACAAUGAGAACACAUGGACACAGGAAGGGGAACAUCACACACUGGGGCCUGUUGUGGCGUGGGGGGAAGGGGGAGGGAUAGCAUUUGGAGAUAUACCUAAUGUUAAAUGACGAGUUACUGGGUGCAGCACACCAAUGUGGCACAUGUAUACGUAUGUAACUAACCUGCACAUUGUGCACAUGUACCCUAAAACUUAAA
rnacentral:lncRNA from 1 species